UACAUGGGGUGCAAACGUUGCUCGGAAUCAUUGGGCGUAAAGCGCGCGUAGGCGGUUACUUAUGUCGGAUGUGAAAGCCCUCGGCUUAACUGAGGAAGUGCAUUCGAAACUGGGUAGCUAGAGUACUAAAGAGGGUCGCGGAAUUCCCGGUGUAGAGGUGAAAUUCGUAGAUAUCGGGAGGAACACCGGUGGCGAAGGCGGCGACCUGGGUAGAUACUGACGCUGAGGCGCGAAAGCGUGGGGAGCAAACAGGG
rnacentral:rRNA from 1 species